rnacentral:snRNA from 1 species
AUUGCUUCUCGGCCUUUUGGCUAAGAUCAAGUGUAAAUCACUGGGCCUUCACUGACCAUCCAUCUGAAGAAUCACCUUCCCUUCGUCUUCAGCAGUUUACUUUGUUUUUUUUUUUUGGUGUCGGGAUCGAACUCUGGUCCUUGUGCUUGCACAGCUGGCAGCGGGAGACCACUGAGCUAAAUCCCCGGCCCAGGUGGGCCAGUUUAC